rnacentral:rRNA from 1 species
GAUGAACGCUGGCGGCGUGCCUAAUACAUGCAAGUCGAGCGAACGGACGAGAAGCUUGCUUCUCUGAUGUUAGCGGCGGACGGGUGAGUAACACGUGGAUAACCUACCUAUAAGACUGGGAUAACUUCGGGAAACCGUAGCUAAUACCGGAUAAUAUUUUGAACCGCAUGGUUCAAAAGUGAAAGACGGUCUUGCUGUCACUUAUAGAUGGAUCCGCGCUGCAUUAGCUAGUUGGUAAGGUAACGGCUUACCAAGGCAACGAUGCAUAGCCGACCUGAGAGGGUGAUCGGCCACACUGGAACUGAGACACGGUCCAGACUCCUACGGGAGGCAGCAGUAGGGAAUCUUCCGCAAUGGGCGCAAGCCUGACGGAGCCACGCCGCGUGAGUGAUGAAGGUCUUCGGAUCGUAAAACUCUGUUAUUAGGGAAGAAAAUCUGUGUAAGUAACUGUGCACAUCUUGACGGUACCUAAUCAGAAAGCCACGGCUAACUACGUG